AUUUUUUAUUGCUCAUUUACACCCUUGUCUUUCAGAUUGAAGAACUUCCUUUAGGAUUCUUGUAGGAAAUGUUUGGUGUUCAUGAAAUCCUUCAGCUUUUGUUUUGUCUGGGAAAAUCUGUAUUUCUCCUUCAUGUUUGAAGGGCAUUUUCACUAGGUAUACUAUUUAAGGAUUUUUUUUUUCUUCAUCACUUUAAAUAUGUCAUGGUGCCACUCUCUCCUAGCCUGUAAGGUUUCCACUGAAAAGUCUGCUUCCAGAUCAACUUUUAUUUUACAUUCAGUGAAUAUGUGUGCAGGUUUCUUACAAAUGUAUAUUGGAUAAUGCUGAGAUUUGAGGUACAAUUCAACCUGUCACUCAGGCUGGAGUGCAGUGGC
rnacentral:lncRNA from 1 species